rnacentral:autocatalytically_spliced_intron from 1 species
CCGGGAGAGGUCAGCGGAAUGGCCGGUGUAGUAGUAAAAUGCAUUAAUAUCGGCUAGAACACCAAUUGCGAAGGCAGCUGACUAGAACGGAUCUGACGCUCAUAGGACGAAAGCGUGGGUAGCGAAUGGGAUUAGAUACCCCAGUAGUCCACGCCGUAAACGAUGGGUACUGAGCAGCCUUAAGUACCCCACCUGGGGAGUACGGCCGCAAGGCUAAAACUCAAAGGAAUUGACGGGAGUCCGCACAAGCGGUGGAGCAUGUGGUUUAAUUCGACUCUAAGCGAGGAAC